UCGACCUCAGAUCAGGUAGGAAUACCCGCUGAACUUAAGCAUAUCAAUAAGCGGAGGAAAAGAAACCAACAGGGAUUGCCUCAGUAGCGGCGAGUGAAGCGGCAAGAGCUCAGAUUUGAAAUCUCACCUAGUGUGCGAGUUGUAAAUUGCAGGUUGGAGUCUCGGGUUAGACGUGUGUGCAAGUCCCUUGGAACAGGGYGCCACUGAGGGUGAGAGCCCCGUAKCGUGCAUGUCGACACCUGUGAGGCCCUUCUGACGAGUCGAGUUGUUUGGGAAUGCAGCUCUAAGUGGGUGGUAAAUUCCAUCUAAGGCUAAAUAUUGGCGAGAGACCGAUAGCGAACAAGUACUGUGAAGGAAAGAUGAAAAGCACUUUGAAAAGAGAGUGAAACAGCACGUGAAAUUGUUGAAAGGGAAGGGUAUUGGGCUCGACAUGGGAUUUACGCAUCGUUGCCUCUCGUGGGCGGCGCUCUGGGUUUUUCCUGGGCCAGCAUCGGUUUUCGUUGCAGGAUAAGGACAAUUGGAAUGUGGCUCCUCGGAGUGUUAUAGCCUUUUGUAGAUGCUGCGUAUGGGGACCGAGGGCUGCGGCGGACUCG
rnacentral:rRNA from 1 species